UUAAGCGACUAAGCGUACACGGUGGAUGCCCAGGCAGUCAGAGGCGAUGAAGGACGUGCUAAUCUGCGAAAAGCGUCGGCGAGGUGAUAUGAACCUUUGACCCGGCGAUGUCCGAAUGGGGAAACCCAGUGCAAUCCGUUGCACUAUCGUUAACUGAAUACAUAGGUUAACGAGGCGAACCGGGGGAACUGAAACAUCUAAGUACCCCGAGGAAAAGAAAUCAACCGAGAUUCCCCCAGUAGCGGCGAGCGAACGGGGAGCAGCCCGGAGUCUGAAUCAGCUUGUGUGUUAGUGGAACGGUCUGGAAAGUCCGACGGUACAGGGUGAUAGUCCCGUACACGAAAAUGCACAUGCUGUGAACUCGAAGAGUAGGGCGGGACACGUGGUAUCCUGUCUGAAUAUGGGGGGACCAUCCUCCAAGGCUAAAUACUCCUGACUGACCGAUAGUGAACCAGUACCGUGAGGGAAAGGCGAAAAGAACCCCGGCGAGGGGAGUGAAAAAGAACCUGAAACCGUGUACGUACAAGCAGUGGGAGCCUCUUUAUGGGGUGACUGCGUACCUUUUGUAUAAUGGGUCAGCGACUUAUAUUCUGUAGCAAGGUUAACCGUAUAGGGGAGCCGAAGGGAAACCGAGUCUUAACUGGGCGUUAAGUUGCAGGGUAUAGACCCGAAACCCGGUGAUCUAGCCAUGGGCAGGUUGAAGGUUGGGUAACACUAACUGGAGGACCGAACCGACUAAUGUUGAAAAAUUAGCGGAUGACCUGUGGCUGGGGGUGAAAGGCCAAUCAAACCGGGAGAUAGCUGGUUCUCCCCGAAAGCUAUUUAGGUAGCGCCUCGUGAAUUCAUCUUCGGGGGUAGAGCACUGUUUCGGCUAGGGGGCCAUCCCGGCUUACCAACCCGAUGCAAACUACGAAUACCGAAGAAUGUUAUCACGGGAGACACACGGCGGGUGCUAACGUCCGUCGUGAAGAGGGAAACAACCCAGACCGCCAGCUAAGGUCCCAAAGUCAUGGUUAAGUGGGAAACGAUGUGGGAAGGCACAGACAGCCAGGAUGUUGGCUUAGAAGCAGCCAUCAUUUAAAGAAAGCGUAAUAGCUCACUGGUCGAGUCGGCCUGCGCGGAAGAUGUAACGGGGCUAAACCAUGCACCGAAGCUGCGGCAGCGACGCUUAUGCGUUGUUGGGUAGGGGAGCGUUCUGUAAGCCGUUGAAGGUGUGCUGUGAGGCAUGCUGGAGGUAUCAGAAGUGCGAAUGCUGACAUAAGUAACGAUAAAGCGGGUGAAAAGCCCGCUCGCCGGAAGACCAAGGGUUCCUGUCCAACGUUAAUCGGGGCAGGGUGAGUCGACCCCUAAGGCGAGGCCGAAAGGCGUAGUCGAUGGGAAACAGGUUAAUAUUCCUGUACUUGGUGUUACUGCGAAGGGGGGACGGAGAAGGCUAUGUCAGCCGGGCGACGGUUGUCCCGGUUUAAGCAUGUAGGCGGAGGUUCCAGGUAAAUCCGGUACCUUGUUAACGCUGAGGUGUGAUGACGAGGCACUACGGUGCUGAAGUGAUAAAUGCCCUGCUUCCAGGAAAAGCCUCUAAGCAUCAGGUAACACGAAAUCGUACCCAAAACCGACACAGGUGGUCAGGUAGAGAAUACCAAGGCGCUUGAGAGAACUCGGGUGAAGGAACUAGGCAAAAUGGUGCCGUAACUUCGGGAGAAGGCACGCUGAUGUGUAGGUGAAGCCCCUGCGGGUGGAGCUGAAAUCAGUCGAAGAUACCAGCUGGCUGCAACUGUUUAUUAAAAACACAGCACUGUGCAAACACGAAAGUGGACGUAUACGGUGUGACGCCUGCCCGGUGCCGGAAGGUUAAUUGAUGGGGUUAGCGGCAACGCGAAGCUCUUGAUCGAAGCCCCGGUAAACGGCGGCCGUAACUAUAACGGUCCUAAGGUAGCGAAAUUCCUUGUCGGGUAAGUUCCGACCUGCACGAAUGGCGUAAUGAUGGCCAGGCUGUCUCCACCCGAGACUCAGUGAAAUUGAACUCGCUGUGAAGAUGCAGUGUACCCGCGGCAAGACGGAAAGACCCCGUGAACCUUUACUAUAGCUUGACACUGAACACUGGUCCUUGAUGUGUAGGAUAGGUGGGAGGCUUUGAAGCGUGGACGCCAGUCUGCGUGGAGCCAACCUUGAAAUACCACCCUUUAAUGGCUGGUGUUCUAACGUAGACCCGUAAUCCGGGUUGCGGACAGUGUCUGGUGGGUAGUUUGACUGGGGCGGUCUCCUCCCAAAGAGUAACGGAGGAGCACGAAGGUUGGCUAAUCCUGGUCGGACAUCAGGAGGUUAGUGCAAUGGCAUAAGCCAGCUUGACUGCGAGCGUGACGGCGCGAGCAGGUGCGAAAGCAGGUCAUAGUGAUCCGGUGGUUCUGAAUGGAAGGGCCAUCGCUCAACGGAUAAAAGGUACUCCGGGGAUAACAGGCUGAUACCGCCCAAGAGUUCAUAUCGACGGCGGUGUUUGGCACCUCGAUGUCGGCUCAUCACAUCCUGGGGCUGAAGUAGGUCCCAAGGGUAUGGCUGUUCGCCAUUUAAAGUGGUACGCGAGCUGGGUUUAGAACGUCGUGAGACAGUUCGGUCCCUAUCUGCCGUGGGCGCUGGAGAAUUGAGGGGGGCUGCUCCUAGUACGAGAGGACCGGAGUGGACGCAUCACUGGUGUUCGGGUUGUCAUGCCAAUGGCACUGCCCGGUAGCUAAAUGCGGAAGAGAUAAGUGCUGAAAGCAUCUAAGCACGAAACUUGCCCCGAGAUGAGUUCUCCCUGAGACCUUGAGUCUCCUGAAGGAACGUUAAAGACUAUGACGUUGAUAGGUCGGGUGUGUAAGCGCAGCGAUGCGUUGAGCUAACCGAUACUAAUGAACCGUGAGGCUUAACCUU
rnacentral:rRNA from 2 species